rnacentral:rRNA from 1 species
UAGGGAAUCUUCGGCAAUGGACGGAAGUCUGACCGAGCAACGCCGCGUGAGUGAAGAAGGUUUUCGGAUCGUAAAGCUCUGUUGUAAGAGAAGAACGAGUGUGAGAGUGGAAAGUUCACACUGUGACGGUAUCUUACCAGAAAGGGACGGCUAACUACGUGCCAGCAGCCGCGGUAAUACGUAGGUCCCGAGCGUUGUCCGGAUUUAUUGGGCGUAAAGCGAGCGCAGGCGGUUAGAUAAGUCUGAAGUUAAAGGCUGUGGCUUAACCAUAGUACGCUUUGGAAACUGUUUAACUUGAGUGCAAGAGGGGAGAGUGGAAUUCCAUGUGUAGCGGUGAAAUGCGUAGAUAUAUGGAGGAACACCGGUGGCGAAAGCGGCUCUCUGGCUUGUAACUGACGCUGAGGCUCGAAAGCGUGGGGAGCAAACAGGAUUAGAUACCCUGGUAGUCCACGCCGUAAACGAUGAGUGCUAGGUGUUAGACCCUUUCCGGGGUUUAGUGCUGCAGCUAACGCAUUAAGCACUCCGCCUGGGGAGUACGACCGCAAGGUUG